CCCACCGCCACCUCCUUCUCCCUCCUUCUUUCCCCCUCUUCAGGUAAGAUUCAGAGAGUAGAAUUUCAGAGGAGAUUCAAGUUCAGAGAAGAGCAGGCCGUCGUCGCCGCCGUUCCCCCUCGUCACCGUCAGCUUCUCCGAGGAGAUCAAGAGCGCAGGGAGGAUUCUGCAUCCUCACCCGUUCCAUUUUCUUCGCUAGGAGGGCAGCUCCCCCUCCCUCGCGUCGCCUCCGCCGUCGUCGUCGCCGGAGCGGAGCGGCAGGAUGUCGCGGGCAGCCUCGCCUCUUCUUCCUUCUUCUCCACGCCCGACCUCGUCUCCGAAUCCCCCUCGGUACAGGUACCCUUGAUGUAGGAGAUCCCGAUGGCAGCCAGUUGAAGUGGGAGUUCGAUGUGGACAGCGGCAGGCUGUAUGUGACUUAACCGGAGGACUAGAGGUCGUGGUCGUGAUUGUGGGCCUAGCAUGCGAGAUAUCAUAGCUUUUGUUGUUUAUCUUGUCUGUAGCCGGACCAUUCCAUGUUCUGAAUAAUGUAUGACUGUAUGACUAUGUACUUUAUCAGAUGGCAAGUGUAUGCCCUA